rnacentral:lncRNA from 1 species
AAUGCCGCUUUCCUCCUUUUUCAGAGACAAUCACAGGUUGGAAAACUCAAGAGGGCUAAAUCAGGAGGAAAUUCCAUCCAUAACAAAUACGAUUCUGAAGCUUACGGGUAGUAAUACGUGGCACCAUAAUAAUAUAACACGUGGCACCGUAGGAGUCUAACACGUGCAAAUAUUACAAAGUAGUGGGACUUAAGUAAUUAUCUAUGUGUCGAAAUGUUUCCUCAGCCUCAUCCACAAUCAAAAGACUGGCCAUGCAUGUCGGCCACGUGUCAAGUCGUUGUCGGAAUUCUUUACUGUCCUUUCUGUGCUUGACAUGUCAACUUAGUAGCUUACACAGUUCGCAAUUAAUUAUUGUACGAAGUUUGUGAGGACUCUUAAGAGAUCUUUGAUGGCGAGAGUACCCUUUUCUUCUAAUUUUUCUUUUUCUUUUUUCUGAACUGCGAAUGGAGAAAAUCAUUGCUACUGUUAGAAAUUACUCCCAGCAGAACGAAAAAGAAUUUCUCAAACUGUUCCUGAGUAACCAGUCAGCUAAUGUGUUUGUUGUUCUCUUUGAUGUUUAGGAUCUAGGCUUGAAUCAAAGGACUUCUUCCUCUGGAACAACAUCUGAGCAGUUCACUAAAGCUUUCGGAUCAGUUUCAAAGAGGGCUUAAGAGCUAGAGUUAGCAGAUUCUUAAAUAGCAAAAGCUUCACCUACCAACGAUGAGAGGCAUCUGAAUUUUUUUGUUGGACUUGGAUCAUCCACAAUCUUGCCUGAUGACAUCUAGACAAGCCAACUCCUUCCCAAGCAACAUUACAAUUGAUUCUAAGAAUCCCCUUUCAGGAGACUCAUUCGGUCAUCUUGCGUCCUAGGCAACUCCUUAGUUCCACCUCUCUUAUUCAGGAAUUCUGUCCAUGCUUUUUGCGUCUUCUCAAAGGGUGAUAACUUUUCAGUAUUACGUUUAGCAUUGAACUUAGGCUUUUAUAUUAUCUUCCUCAUUUUGAAAGGCUCAACUUUUUAUUUUAUUUUUAUGCUGCGAUGUGUAUGCGCUCUUCUCCUAAUCAGAAGUGUUUUCAGCAGUUCAUUAGGUAAUGGAUUCAACUAUUUCGGGAGAGCUUCGUGAGGAUUUUCAUGGUCAUAUGGUGAGGGUACCUAUGAAUAAAUAAAUAAAGUGAUCAGAAUAUAUGCUGGAUAACAGCGAUCUGACUGCGAUAACAAAAUUACCCAUCGUAGAGGAUUGAUAUGUUGACAUAAUUAGAAAAUUAUCUUGAUCCAACAGGCUUGGAUAGAGGGAUCAAUUAUAAGAAUAUAUAUAUCAUAGAAUACCAAACCAUGUAAUUGUACCUCUGUUUAUUAUUACUUAAGCACAUAUCCUAAUAAUUUCAAUAAAAAUAGGAGGUUUGUUUAUCAUCUGUUUUGUAAUAAUAUAUUUGUCACUAAUUUGUGAUUAGUGCUAAUUAUCUGGAAAAUCAAGUAGUUAUAAAGGCCAUGAAAAUGUAUCUAGAAAUUUAAUCAAUGUAAUCUUUACACAUGUGAAAAUAGCACCAAGUACUUUUCUAAAAGAGCUGGAGGGCUAAAUAAAGGACUGAGAAUAGCAUGUAUAAUAUUUUCUGGAGAAAAUUGUAUUCCAACUACAUGUUUGCCAAAUAGUUGUAAGGCUGCACAAAUAAAAUAAUGGCAUACGUUUAUGUUGAAAGGACACUGAAUUAGCAGAUGAUUUGAAGAUGUAACAAAACUUUGGUGUCUCCUAAAAUUAACCAUGUUUUGGAACUGGCUGAUCCUCUAAAAUUAUGCUUGAGAAAGAGAAGUACUCUCUGAAGGAGUUAAACAUGUCUUUUAGGUUGGCCCUAAAAUGCAAUUUGUUGUCGGCUCUACUUGUAUCCAAACAGGGAAUAAUGAAUUUUCGAUAAAUAAAUAAAUCGAAAAUAUCUUAAAAUUUGAAAAAAAAAUUAAUAAAUCAUUUAAAUAAAAUGAAAGGUUCUGACUAAGCUUCUUCUUCUUAUUAUUGUUAUUAUUUUAAUUCGCAUUUAUCAUAAAGGUAAGUAUUCAUUUAGUAUCUGAGAAUGGAUUUGAAUUCGAAACCUUAUUUGUACCACUU